AGUUUCCUGGUCUAGCGGUUAUGAUUUUCCGUUAACAUAACAAAUGCCGUUGGCAAAUGUUCCGGAAAGGUUCUGGGUUCGAUUCCCAGGGAAACUA
rnacentral:tRNA from 1 species